rnacentral:lncRNA from 1 species
GUUGAGGUUGGCAGGCGCCUCUGGAGACCAUCUAGUCCAACCCCCUGCUCUAGCAGGGUCACCUGGAGCACGUUGCACAGGAUCGCGUCCAGGCGGGGUUGGAAUAUCUCCGGAGAAGGAGACUCCACCACCUCUCUGGGCAGCCUGUAUCCAUCCUACCUUUCUAUCCAUCCAUCCAUCCACCUAUCCGUSUAUCUCUCCACCCACCCAUCCAUCCACUCAUCUGUCCCUCAACCUAUCCAUCCCUCUGCCUGUCCAUCUGUCCAUACCUCCACCUAUCCAUCUGUCCACCCAUCCAUCCCUCCACCUAUUCAUCUGUCCCUCCAUCCACCCAUCUGUCCCUCUACCUGACCGUCCCUCUACCCGUCCAUCUGUCCAUCCAUUCCUCCACCUAUCCAUCCAUCUGUUCAUCCAUCCAUCUAUCCCUCCACCAAUCCGUCCAUCCAUCCAUCCGUCCGUCCGUCCCUCCACCAAUACAUCUACUCCCUCCACCUAUCCCUCCCUCCAUCCCUCCCUCCCUCCCUCUCUCCAUCUGUCCGUCCGUCCCAAGCCAUCUGCUCAGCUGUCUGUUCAUCCUGUGUCCACCUCUCCAUCCCUCUGUCUGUCCGUCUGUCCGUUCAUCCUCUCGCCAGCUGUCCAUCCACCUGUUUGCCCGUUUAGCUGUUCUUUAUGCAUCUAUUCAUCCAUUCCUUCUUUCCUCCAUCCUUUUAUCCAUCCAUCUGUCCAUCCUUCUGUUUGUCCUUUCCUCCAUCUGUCUGUUCAUCCUUUUCCCCAGCUGUCCAUCCUUUCUACCAUCCUUUUACCCAUCUGCCUGUGCAUUCAUCCGUCCUUUCGUCCGUCCGUCCGUCCUUUCCUCCAUCCUUUUAUCUGUCGGUGCUUUCAUCCGUCCAUCUUUCUGUCCUUUCUUCCAGUCCUUUACCUCUGUCCAUCUUCUCACCCGUCCUUUGAUCUGCUUUGGUCCGUUUCUCCAUCCAUUUGCUUGGUCCAUCCAUCCUUUCAUCCAUCCGUCUGCCCUUUUCUCCAUCUGUGCAUUCAUCCGCUCUUUGAUCCAGCUGUUUGUCCAUCUGUACAUCCAUGCUUUCAUCCAUCUGUCUAUCCGUCCGUCCUUGCUUUGUCCAUCCUCUCCUCCAUCCUUCUGCCUGUCUGUCUGUCCCUUCAUCCAUCCUUUUAGCCAUCUGUCCAUCUUUUCAUCCUUUUAUCCAUCUGUCUGUCCUUUCAUCUGUCCGUGUGUCCAUCCUUUCACCCCUCUAUUCAUCUGUCUGUUCAUCCAGGCUUUAUCAGCCCAUCUGUCCAUCCGUCCGUCCACCGCAUCCUCCUUCCACGCGUCCAUCCCUUCUUUCCCCCUUCUGCCCAUUUAUUCACCCCUCCGCCCGUCCGUCCGUCCGUCUGUCCCUCCUUCACCCGCCCCGGUGUGGGGCGCUUGGAGGGGGGGGAGGCUCCGGGACCCCCAGGGGGACCCCGACACCCCGGAGGG